rnacentral:lncRNA from 1 species
GUUUCCAAAUGCUUGUUACUCUUUGCCGUAAACCUGGAAUUUGGACCUAUGGCUGCCUGGGACUCAUACUGUCGUGGAGAAAGAUUGAAAAGUAGUUAAUGGCAGUGGUGGUAUGAAGGUGAUGCCACACUCAAUCAGAAACUAUGCUACUGCUGAAGAGGUAUAUUGAGCCCUGCCUGGUUAACCUCCAGUGAGGUUAUUAGAGAAUUGGGAGAGGCUCAAAUCAGCAUCCUGCACCUAGUUAUCAAACCAUUGUGAAGUCUUGAUUCCUGGAUGGCCAGAAAACUUGUCAUUGGUCAAGAGCAACAUUAAGAUCUGCCUGUUACUCAUACUGAUGCUUCCUGCCCAGCAAGUUCAUCAGAGGGCGAGGAUGAAUUACGGUUGCCAUGAAUGUCCUUGUGAGGCAGUUGGGAAGCCUUGGCUGGAUUGUGAAGGAUAUUUGAAAAGUAUUUUAGAGUCCACCAGAUCAUCCAUGUGAGUGACCAUGCAGCAAAAGAAGGAGGGUCCUCUCAGUGAUUAAGGAUUAUGAAGUAUUAAUUCUUCCACUGAUAUCUCAAAAGGUGAUCUGGACAAAGGAACAGGUAUCUCAGAUUCCCAGUUCUCAAUCUUCCUUCCUCCUUACAAGAUACAAGCAACCUUCAACCUUCCCAGAGAUGGUCUCUGUAUAUGAAAGACAAUGGUCUUAUUAUGAAGUCGGCAUAUUUAUAGCUUGAUAAAAACUGAAAAAUCUGUAGCCUAUUUUUAAUAGUGAUAUAUAAGGAAAUAACAUAAAUAAAAAUUUGGCAACAAGAAUCCAGGAGCAAAUUUAUGAUCAAUACACAAUUGGGCAAGUGGUGUUCAUACCAACCAUGCAAAAAUGGUUCAAUUUUAGGAAAUCUUUGAAUAUAGCUUUUAGUAGGUCAGAGGAAAUCAGUAUCUCAAAGUACUUUCAUGAUUUAGUUAUUUUUAAGUUAUUGAUCAUUUUGGAUUUUAUUUUGAGGUUGAUAGCCAUAUAAUGAUUUCACAUUUUAUUUUAAAUGGCUAGCUGUUGUCCCAAUACUAUUUACUGAAAAAUCUACAUUUUGCUCACUCUUUUUUUUUUUUUUUAAGAGACAGGGUUUUACCAUGUUGCCCAGGCUAGAUUUGAACUCCUGGGCUCAAGUGAUCCUCUCGACCCAGCCUCCUGAGUAUCUGUGACUGCAGGCAAGUACCCCUGUGCCUGCUCACUUAUUUAAAGUUCUACACAUCAAAUACUAAAUUCUCAUCUAUUUGACUUCUGGACUCACUGGUUGGUGUCAUUGACUGUCUUUUCCUGUGAUAGCAUAGAAUUAUUUUGAUUGUGGAAGUACUAUAAAUGUUGCUAUUUAUUGUGCCUCUUGCUGCCUAUCUAUAUUUAGACUCAUUUAUGUGAUGCCAUUCUGUAUACUCUAAA